GGGAUGACGUCAAAUCAUCAUGCCCCUUAUGUCUGGGCUACACACGUGCUACAAUGGCCGGUACAGACGGACGCAAAGCCGCGAGGUGGAGCAAAUCCUAAAAAGCCGGUCUCAGUUCGGAUUGCAGGCUGCAAUUCGCCUGCAUGAAGUCGGAAUUGCUAGUAAUGGCAGGUCAGCAUACUGCCGUGAAUACGUUCCCGGGCCUU
rnacentral:rRNA from 1 species